UAAGAAGCUCAUUUGUCGAAGCGGAUCCACUAUAGCAUAUAGCUCCCAUACAAACUGAACGUUCGUAAUCAAGUGCUUGUUUGGAAAAUUCUUUUAUUUGACGAAGUAUCUUAGACAAAAUUAAGCAUGGAUUAUUGUCUAAGGCAAUAAUGUAUUAUCCGAAGAAAUUGUUCAGAUCAGAUCACUAUAUCAUGUAGCUGCCAACAUAACGAUCGGAAACAAGUUCUUUUUAGGAACCUUUGUAUUUGUGAAGGGUAUUAGUUAAACAUUUUUCUUGUUUUUAUUUUACAUUUUAUUUUUUCCAUUUAAACUAUGCGCACAAACCGAUUCAACAGAAUUUUUUUCGUAGAUUAGUACAACUAGACCAGGAUAAAUAAUUUUUGAAAGCAAAAAAAAAAGUUGUAGUAGGUGGAACCCAUUGCACAGAAAGACAAAAUAACAAAAUGAAAGCAAAAAUAAAUUACUGACUAUUUGAGGUCGUGGAGAGGAAGAGUAGAAAGGAGGGGCCUGGUUGAAUUGUUAUGGGUUAAAACCGGUUUAUAUUGAUUUCCGACAAAACUCCGAGUCCUAUAGAAUAAAGUUAAAUGACCUAGUUGUAAGUAAUGAAAAGAUCUACAACUUUUGAACAAACACCCCUUUCCAUAACCUCAAACCUUUGAGAAAAAUUAAAAUAAUUUAGUUUUUGGGUUUUUAUUUUUAUUUAUUUGGCGUACUUACCUUCUUAUGACCCAAACACACUGUAUUUUAUUUAAUUUACAAUAUUUAUUUUUCAUUUUGACUUAAUAUUGGAAGAAACCCUAAAUUUCAAUCGAAAAUGUUCCCGUCAAAAUUUCUGCGUUUUUAAAAAGUCAGUAGUCGGUCUUAAAUUGACACAACAUGUGACGUUUGAUCUCAAUUAAGGUGUGUUUGCGGAUGUUUGUUUAAGAUGUGAAAAGUUUGUCUGUUGAGCUAUACCAUGGAAAGAAGUUUAACAACGAGUUUACUUGAAAUAUUGUAUUUCAAUUGGAAUCGCGGCUACGGAAUCGUUGAAAAUUUUGUAGCGUGUCAAUGCUGGACUCAUAUUAAAUUACUUAAAUCUUUUACAAAAAUGGCGUUAAGUAGAGGUCGCAAAACAGAUGCUUGAUGAUGUUGAGGACUCUACAUUCCUCAAACGCAUCAUUACUGAUGACGAGGCGUGGGUUUUUGAAUAAGAUGUGGAAGCUCUCCAACAAUAUAGCGAAUGGCGCUACAAAAAUGAGCCAAUACUAAAAAACCAAAUUCGCUGAAGGUAUGUUUAACGGUUUAUUCGGAAGGAAGAGUAGCUUAUGUCGUUAAUGACACUUUGAAAAUUUAGACAGUUUGAUUUUAAAAAUUACUCUAAAUUUGUUUGUUGGUAUUUAAGAAAAAAAUAAUGAUUUAAAAAUAUUAUAUUUCAAAUUAAAUGUUUUAGUUUCAAGCACUUUAUAUUAUUCUUCCAUAGAUUGAAAUUUAAUAUGCAAAAAUACACUUACAACUCGUCGAUUGCUCAAAAAUACACAAAUUAUUAACUGAAAACACUACCAGGAAAACUUUGACCAAUUAGAAGGAAUAAUAUACUCGUUCUAAGACAGCUAGAGUUUCAAAGGAGAGAUUUUAAAAUUUGAGCUACAGUAAUAUAACAACAAAUAUUUAAUUUAGUCCAAUAAUUAUGAUAUUCUAGAAAUGAAAGGAAUGGUUUGUGAAAACUGAAGUGCGAUAUAUGCUCUAUUGACCCUACUGGAAACGCUUCUAUGUACCAAUAUGGUAUUUUUAAAGUUAUUUUACCAUUUGCUAGAGUUAAAAUUUUCGAAUCUUGUUUAAAAUAUUAUGGAUAGAACUCUAUCAAAGAUCAGCAUAGUUAGGUUAAGUUUCGAGCUGCUACUUGGAUGUAACACCAACCCUUUGUGAUGUGAAAAUAACUACUAUCGAGAUUAAGAAUCUUGAGACCCUUGUGUAUCGAAUCGAAGGUAAGACAUCCGAGACGUUUGAACCGAAGUUUAGCAAAAUCGGGAAGUUGGGAAAGAGUGGAGAGAUAAGCUUUCACCUCGCAUUCCUCCAACUAAUUUUGACAAUUUGGUUUAAAAAUAUUUUGCUUUACCGCAUGUUUUCCCAACUACGCACUCGUGCUCUGGUGAAGUGAUAUCGUCUAGUACCAUAUUAUAUUUAAUCAAUUUAAUUUAUACAGAUGGCAAUAAAGUCGUUGAAGUAAGAAGAUAUAUUAAAUUUGUUAAUUGUAGACUUUAAACAAUCAAACAUGAUACUAGUGGGCCUUAGCCCAAGCUUUAUAUGUCCUUUAUAAAUGCGUACUUAAAUUUAGGUCGCUGGGCACAUAAAAAUAUAGAUCCUUGUGGAAAAUUGAUUUAAACUCAUACAAUAGAAACACAUUAAGGAAAAAUUGAGUUAUUUAAAAUGAUCUGGCGAAAUGUUUAGGCCUUGAAACUUCAGCUUUAUCAAAAUUCGGUUGUUAUUUAUACAAAACAAUAGUAAUAAAAUAAUUAGUUGUUGUUGUAACGGUUACCUAAUCCCCAUUUGGGUGAUAGGUUCCAGAUUGGUUGUCGUCGAGGUCAUCUAACAGGAGACCCAGGAAACGAGCUGUUUCGACGGGGUCGGACCAUAAGGAAAAAAAUGUUAGAUGAGUGGUGUUCGUUGGGCAUGCAAAGAGGUGAGAAACUGCUUGGAGAGGAGCUCGUUAUGUUCCUUAACCGGAAGAAUACGGGCCUCACUGUGUAGGUGUUCGAUUGGGGACAUCAAGAGGCAUCCCGGAGUGCAGUGUUCUGACAGGUCUGGAGCUUCUUCGUCUGCGUAGCACUACAUCCAGGCGACCAUAUUGAGGCUGCAUAGUUUAGGACCGGUCGGCCGAUUGCCUUGUAUGUCGCCAGCAACGUUUCUUUGUCUUUUCCCCAAGAGCUGCCGGUUAGCGAUUUGAGGAUUUUGUGGCGGCUCUGUACUUUGGCAGUUAUCGCAGUCGUGUGAGGAGUGAAGGAGCAAAUACUGUCUAGUGUAACGUCUAAAAUUUUAGGGUUGUUUACCGUCGUAAUUUUGGUACCAUCGACUGAAAUGUUUAGAUACAGUCUGUACUCCUUCGUCCAGUUCGUAAAUAUGGUCGCUGUGGAUUUAGUGGGGGAGAAUGUCAGACUCCUUGCAGAGAAGAAGCGCGGAAGUUCGGAGAGGUCACGGAAAUUCGCUCUGGUGGUUGUGGGAGUUUCGAAACGUAGAAGUUAAACAGUAGAGGGGAGAGGACACCACCCUGCGGAACCCCCUGUUUAAUUCUUCUCAGUUUGGAGUUUUGACCUCGAAACAGUACGGAUGAAUGCCGACCGCUCAGGUAGUUCAUAGUACACCGCUUCAGCUAAAAUAAUUAGUAGUUUAAAGGAGUAGAGUAGAAGUAGUACAAUAUAAUCAUCUCGAUCCAAAUAAAAUGUACGAUAGUAUGCUGUUAUACUUGUUCCUUAGCACACCAGUACCUUCACUAUCAUAAAAUAGAAUAGUCGGGUUAGAACGUUAUAUCAGCACACCUACUUUUGGCAAAGACCUCAGCUUAAAUUAUGCUCUGAAAACUGGCUGACAGUUUGGUUUUUAUUUCAACUAUCCCAACAGCUUCCGCUAUCCUGAAACUCUCGAUAUACCACUGUUCGGUGCUUCCUUUGAGAUGCUCGUUAAAGCGAGAUUUUUAGCAAGAGAGCGCAAGUUGAGGUAGGAAGUAGUGGAUAAUGUAUAGUAUAGUAAUAGGGAAUUAAUACGUGAAUAAAUUGCUAAUGUAAUAAAUUCAUGUGUCAUUGAAUCAUUAUCAUACUUCAAUCGUUUACGAUUCGUCAGCCCACUACUAUUUAUCUUUACUAUCAUGUAAAAAAAUGUACUUAAGAACAAACAACAACAAAGUACUUUAUUUGAAUUUGAUAUAUACAAGCUUAUAUAUCAAAUUCAAUUACUACCUCUUUAAGGUAGUAUAACCUCAAGCUGGAGAGUAGAGAUGGAACUUAAUUAUGUACAUCUAUUAAAUGUAUGCCAGUUGUAUAUUCGAUUCACGAAUUAAAGCAACUUUUAUUGACUUUUUUAAAAGCUAGAAAUUCUAUUUUCCACAACACAAUAUCCAAGGCUAACGAAAAGAGAGAGCAAAUAGUAAUGGGUGUUUUUUAGACAUGUGGUUUUCAAAAAUCAAUAAAACGCUUAUUAUUUAAUGUUAUGACCAAGAAUUUAGCCCUAUGAUAAAGAUAAGGGUUUGCCAUUAUGUUUUAAAAGUUAUUUCGGGCAAGUGGCCACUGCAGGUGUCCAGCGAUGUUAAAUUGCACGAUCUUGGAGGCCACGUCAUAUGCCCACGAUGCAAGAUAAUGCGAUACCCAAAAGUUUCAUUCAAUAAAUUGAUUGUUUUGUUGGCUGUAUGGUAUGUAUCGCCGUCUUGUUGCCUC